rnacentral:rRNA from 1 species
GCAAUGCCGCGUGAGUGAAGAAGGCCUUCGGGUUGUAAAGCUCUUUUGUCAGGGAAGAAACGGUUGGGGCUAAUAUCCCCGGCUAAUGACGGUACCUGAAGAAUAAGCACCGGCUAACUACGUGCCAGCAGCCGCGGUAAUACGUAGGGUGCAAGCGUUAAUCGGAAUUACUGGGCGUAAAGCGUGCGCAGGCGGUUUUGUAAGUCUGUCGUGAAAUCCCCGGGCUCAACCUGGGAAUUGCGAUGGAGACUGCAAGGCUAGAGUUUGGCAGAGGGGGGUAGAAUUCCACGUGUAGCAGUGAAAUGCGUAGAGAUGUGGAGGAACACCGAUGGCGAAGGCAGCCCCCUGGGUCAAAACUGACGCUCAUGCACGAAAGCGUGGGGAGCAAACAGGAUUAGAUACCCUGGUAGUCCACGCCCUAAACGAUGUCUACUAGUUGUCGGGUUUUAAUUAACUUGGUAACGCAGCUAA